AACAAAACUGUCAAUAUGUCAAAGCUCAGUUUGCGCGAGAAAAAUUGAUAAUCGCGGAACUAAGCGUUUACAAUAAAGAUACUGCUGCUCCAGUCUAUAAAAUCCAGUUCCAAUUUAAAUAAGUCUGUCUUACCGCAUUUGUUGGAGAUCGAGUUUCAACUCCCAACCGAAAUGUUAUUGUGGAAAUAGUAAAGAAGGCGCUCAAAUCUACUCUGGUCUGCGUCUCUCAAGCGUUCUGGUACACAUAUACCAAGUGCUUUGUAACGGACUCUUGUACUUCAAUGUCCUGAUGCUAGUAUACAGGAGAAAUAGGUCAUGACUUACUUUUUAGCUUGCUCGCUUGUUCUACUCAUCUUCUGCUUUGCAACAUCUACAUUGUCUAUUCGCAAAGAAAAACUAAGAUUUAAGGUUUGCAAAUCACUAUUUAUUCACAGUAUGAACCUUACCUUUCAUUCGUAUCAUUCGUUCACCAGCUGUUAUGCAUUUAACGUGAGCUAUUUGUGAAGAUGAAAUGACAAACUUAAGCUUACAACACUUGAAUAAAGUCAAAUAUGAACGUCAAAACACAAAGUGUUUUGCUCGAUAAGAG